rnacentral:rRNA from 1 species
CAGUGGGGAAUUUUCCGCAAUGGGCGAAAGCGUUACGGAGCAAUGCCGCGUGGAGGUGGAAGGCCUACGGGUCGUCAACUUCUUUUCUCGGAGAAGAAACAAUGACGGUAUCUGAGGAAUAAGCAUCGGCUAACUCUGUGCCAG